UACGUAGGUGGCAAGCGUUAUCCGGAAUUAUUGGGCGUAAAGGGUGCGUAGGCGGUUUAGUAAGUCUAAUGUGAAAUUUCAGGGCUCAACUCUGAACUGCAUUAGAAACUAUUAGACUAGAGUGCAGGAGAGGGCAACGGAAUUCCAUGUGUAGCGGUAAAAUGCGUAGAUAUAUGGAGGAACACCGGUGGCGAAGGCGGUUGCCUGGCCUGUUACUGACGCUGAAGCACGAAAGCGUGGGGAGCAAAUAGG
rnacentral:rRNA from 1 species